UUCUUCUUUACUUCUUCUCCUUCUUAUUUUUUUCUUCUCUUCUUAUUCUUCUUCUUCUCCUUCUUAUUUUUUCUUCUCCUCCUCUUCUUCUUCUUCUUCUUCUUCUUCUUCUUCUUCUUCUUCUUCUUCUUUUUCUUCUCCUCCUCCUCCUCCUACUCCUCUUCUUCUUCUCCUCUUCUCGUCCUCCUCCUCCUUCUCUUCUCCUCUUCUCCUCCUCCACCUAACUAACCAAGCUAACUAACUAACCUAACUAAAACUACUAACCUAACUAAAUCUACCACUAAAACUACUAACCUAACUAAA
rnacentral:lncRNA from 1 species